UACGUAGGGUGCAAGCGUUAAUCGGAAUUACUGGGCGUAAAGCGUGCGCAGGCGGUUUUGUAAGUCUGUCGUGAAAGCCCCGGGCUCAACCUGGGAAUUGCGAUGGAGACUGCAAGGCUUGAAUUUGGCAGAGGGGGGUAGAAUUCCACGUGUAGCAGUGAAAUGCGUAGAGAUGUGGAGGAACACCGAUGGCGAAGGCAGCCCCCUGGGUCAAGAUUGACGCUCAUGCACGAAAGCGUGGGGAGCAAACAGG
rnacentral:rRNA from 1 species